AGGAAAAACUCUUACCAGAAGACAAAAGAAGAAUUUGAGAGGAUCCAAGAGAAGCGGAGAAAGAAGAAAGAGGAGUACUUGACAAACAAGCAACAGAGAGAAGAGGCCAUCCAGAAGUACAAACAGAAAAAGAUGGAGACAUUCCAGAUCCUAAACAAAAAGACCAAGAAAGGACAGCCAAAUCUAAACCUCCAAAUGGAAUAUUUACUUCAGAAGAUACAAGGAAGUGGAAAAUGACUCCUCCUCAGAACUGAAUGCCAGUAGAGGACUUUACUUAAAACCUCAUAGGCUGAAUCAAGGUUGCGAUUUUCUGUGCAAAAUUAAAGUGGAAACUUGUGGUUGUUUUGACCAUAAAGUACUUUGAGAUAUAUAUUGUGAUUUCACAGUAUUUUUUGCUCUGACCACUGAAAGUCUUUGUACUGUCCAACCACAAGAUGGCAUCAUAAGAAAUGAAGUGAUGACAGAACAUGCUUUUAUUUUUAAAAAUAAAUAAAUAUAUAAUUUCCAA